GUGACAGCCCCGUACACAAAAAUGCACAUAUUGUGAGCUCGAUGAGUAGGGCGGGACACGUGGUAUCCUGUCUGAAUAUGGGGGGACCAUCCUCCAAGGCUAAAUACUCCUGACUGACCGAUAGUGAACCAGUACCGUGAGGGAAAGGCGAAAAGAACCCCGGCGAGGGGAGUGAAAAAGAACCUGAAACCGUGUACGUACAAGCAGUGGGAGCCUCUUAAUGGGGUGACUGCGUACCUUUUGUAUAAUGGGUCAGCGACUUAUAUUCUGUAGCAAGGUUAACCGAAUAGGGGAGCCGAAGGGAAACCGAGUCUUAACUGGGCGUUAAGUUGCAGGGUAUAGACCCGAAACCCGGUGAUCUAGCCAUGGGCAGGUUGAAGGUUGGGUAACACUAACUGGAGGACCGAACCGACUAAUGUUGAAAAAUUAGCGGAUGACUUGUGGCUGGGGGUGAAAGGCCAAUCAAACCGGGAGAUAGCUGGUUCUCCCCGAAAGCUAUUUAGGUAGCGCCUCGUGAAUUCAUCUCCGGGGGUAGAGCACUGUUUCGGCAAGGGGGUCAUCCCGACUUACCAACCCGAUGCAAACUGCGAAUACCGGAGAAUGUUAUCACGGGAGACACACGGCGGGUGCUAACGUCCGUCGUGAAGAGGGAAACAACCCAGACCGCCAGCUAAGGUCCCAAAGUCAUGGUUAAGUGGGAAACGAUGUGGGAAGGCCCAGACAGCCAGGAUGUUGGCUUAGAAGCAGCCAUCAUUUAAAGAAAGCGUAAUAGCUCACUGGUCGAGUCGGCCUGCGCGGAAGAUGUAACGGGGCUAAACCAUGCACCGAAGCUGCGGCAGCGACACUAUGUGUUGUUGGGUAGGGGAGCG
rnacentral:rRNA from 1 species